rnacentral:tRNA from 1 species
GGGCCAGUAGCUUAGCUUGGUUGGAGCACCCGGCUGAUAACCGGGAGGUCGAGAGUUCGAAUCUCUCCUGGCCCA